GGAAUAUUGGUCAAUGGACGGAAGUCUGAACCAGCCAUGCCGCGUGGAGGAAUAAGGCCCUAUGGGUCGUAAACUUCUUUUGACGGGGAGCAAUAAGGGUGUCGGGCACAUCCGAUGAGAGUACUCGUCGAAUAAGCAUCGGCUAACUCCGUGCCAGCAGCCGCGGUAAUACGGAGGAUGCAAGCGUUAUCCGGAUUUAUUGGGUUUAAAGGGUGCGUAGGCGGAGGAGUAAGUCAGAGGUGAAAUGCCGCAGCUCAACUGCGGAACUGCCUUUGAUACUGCUUUUCUGUAGUUCGGAUGCCGUGGGAGGAAUGGGCAGUGUAGCGGUGAAAUGCACAGAUAUUGCCCAGAACACCGAUUGCGAAGGCAUCUCACGAAUCCGAGACUGACGCUGAGGCACGAAAGCGUGGGGAUCAAACA
rnacentral:rRNA from 1 species